CACUUCGUCUUUGAUUUACUUUUCCUUAGUAACGUAGCUUCUCCUCAACCUAUACUAUCGGUUCAUGCCGCUCGCUUACUUAUGCUUCCGCUCUAUCCAAGUCAAGCUAGACUGUCUUAUAAUAUCAUCUAGUAGCAUUCUCCGGUCAAUCAAACAAUCAAGCCAGUAAGCUAACCUUUUAUGAGCCAAGCUGCAACCCUGUCAGCCAGUAGUGAAAACCUUUUG
rnacentral:lncRNA from 1 species